rnacentral:lncRNA from 1 species
GGAGGUCCGCCGCGGCCGGAUCUGUCCGCUCCGCGGACCACCUCAAGCCGGGACGGUCCGUGUGCUCGCCAUCGAGCCCUUCUCCGCCGCGGACGUCACCAACUCGUCGUCGUUGCCACUGCUCCGGGCCGCCUCCAACCUUCUAACCUCGUCCACGAGAACCGGGGUGGGCUUCUCCCUCGGGUCCCCCUUUUAGCCCUUCGAUUUGGACGCCGUAGGCCGUCAUCUCCGUCGAGCUCGAACCCCCGUGUACGCGUAGGUGCGUGCGCUCGCUGCCGCCUGUUACUUCUUCUGCUGUCGUUGUUGCCGGUGCUGCCGGUUGUCGCUGCUGCUGUCCCGUGCUCGCGCGUCCCUACUGCGUGUGCGUGCCGGCGCUGCUGCUUCGUUUGCUGCUGGCCGCUGCUGCCGCGUACCAGUGCCGCCGCACUGCAGAUGCUCCUUGCGUGCUUCUACUCUGCCCUGCCCCUGUUCUGCUUGCUGCUAGCCACGGCAAAGGCCAUGACCGUGAUGUGUGAGAGCGCAGCGUGCGUGUGUGUGCGUGAGUUGGGUGUGUGCGCCGUGUCUGUGUGUGGUGUGUGUGUGGCUGGCUUUUGCCACAGCCAUGUGUGGCCGGCCCUUGUUUGACUAGUACAGAUUAGGAUUUAAAUUAGUAGAUCAAUUAGCCUAAUGUGCAGAUGACAUGUGGGCUCCAUUUGAUUAGGUUAAUUUGUUUUAUUAAUUUGGCUAAGUGUAGCCUAUGACAUGUGGGCCAUACGCCUUGUUGACUGGUCAAAGUUUGACUAAGUCAACAAGUCCCCUAGCCCCACAUGUCAGCCUCUCUGGGUGUGCACACAGUGUGUACACAUAGCAAUUUCCCUAUUUAAUUCGAAUUAGCAGUAAUUCUAGAAAAUGUUUAAAACUUUGAAAAUUCAUAGAAAAUAAAACGUAACUCGGAUGGAAAUGUUUUCUACAUGAAAGCUGCUCAGAAAAACGUGACGAAUCCAAAUACGCGGUCUGUUAAUCUGUCACAUGCCCCUAACAUGCUAAACAUGAAACUUUCCCCCUCCGGUCAUGUGUCUGACACAGGUCCGGAACCGGAAAAACAUUCCCGGUUGACUUCCCCCCUCGCCGGUAUCGUGUAGCACCGCGUUAGAACACGUCUAGCUCUGCAUGUUGUCCUGUUAUGUUAUGUUUGCUUUAUAUUUACUGUUUCUCUCCCCUCUUCUCUCCGGUAGACCCCGAGACCGAUGCUGCCCCUAUGAUCGACUACGUCACCGACGACCCCUUCUUGCCAGAGCAACCAGGCAAGCCCCCCCUUUGAUCAUCCCGAUAUCGCCCAUUCCUUUCUCUCAUGCUUGCAUUAGAUUUUGCUACUAUUAUUGUAUGCUCCUAUUCUGAUGCAUAGCCUGCUUUUGUAUCUGCUAUUGUACCUUACCUGCUUAUCCUAAACUGCUUAGUAUAGGUUGGUUAGUGAUCCAUCAGUGACCCCCACCUUGUCCUUGUUGCCCCUGCUUCAUCAUUGAAGACCCGAUCAACGGGAUUGAAGACCAGGCCCCGGCACCGCACACCACUUUCCCCUUAGUUGCUCGACACUGCUGGGUUACUAUCGAGUGCCGAGGGUGAGACCUCUACAGCACUUCUGAUGUUAACCCUGUAGUGUAGCUAUUCGGUCGUGGUCAUCGAGGGUGAUUCCGCCUUAACCACUUCCGAUAUGACUCUGUCGUGCAACUCCUCAAGUGUGAACCUCGGGGGUGAUUUCUCUUACGUUCACCUUGAUGAUUACAUUGAGUGGAAUUCACCGGGGGUGAUUCCUCGGGUUUUCCCCUUGAUGUUUAGACACACAGUUACUAUGAUUACUAUGACUUUACAGUGAACCAUGUUACUAAAGACGGGUCGACCCUGAGGGGUGCCCGCGCGAGCUUAAUUGCGAGUGAUGUGGAGUCGGGUUGACCUGGAGGGUGCCCGCGAGAUAAUUACGAGGCGUGGCCGGGCAUUCCUAGCCCUUGUCGCAAGUCCUCGAGACGGGGCAAUGGGGUCACAUCUUUCGUGAGUCUCUACUUGUUACCGCGCGUUCCUAAUCCACUACGAUUUGGAUAUUUGAUCCGAGGGGCCUCUGGCCUGAUAGCACUAACCAUCAUGUGGGCAUAGUAUGGGCGUUCUGCGUCGUAUACAUCAGCCGAAGCUUAAUAGACGUCAGCGACUGAGCGGCGCGCGCCGGGUUGGACUGCGUAAGCACCUGCCUUGUUGAAGGAGGUAGCUAGGUCUGCUCACCGGCCGCCCACGCAACGUGCAGGAGUUCCCGGGGAGAUGGCCCAUGACCCCUGGGGGCAUAGGUUUAGUCCGGCGUGCUGGCCUCUCUAUUAAGCCUAGGUCGGGUUGCGGCGUAUUGUUUGGCCGAGGCCGGGCAUGACCCAGGAAAGUGUGUCCGACCGGAGUUAAGCGAGCGUGGUGGGUAAGUUGGUGCACCCCUGCAUGGAAGAAAACAUCUAUCGAUAGCCUGUCCUAUGGUAACGGACACUCGGAGUUGUAUCCCGAUCGAUACAACUAGAACUGGAUACUUGUGAUGAGAAUUGGAUGGUGAUGAGAAUUGGAUUGUGAUGACAAUUGGAUAGUAUGGCUCUGGGAUUGCUUUCUCGCAGGGAGUCGAGAAAGGAUCUCUGGCCGAGGUUGAUAACACCACUACUACUUUACCUUAUGCUACUCUACUCCCUCCUGUUUGCUGCAAGAUGGUGGUUUCCAGAAGAUGCUAGUCUUCGAUAGGACUAGACCUUCUCUCUAUUCUGGCAUUUUUGCAGCCCAGUCCACAUAUACAACCUUUCUUUGAUAAUGUUGCAUAUGUAGUGUAGAUCCUUGCUUGCGAGUACUUUGGAUGAGUACUCACGGUUGCUUUGCUACCCCUUUUCCCCCUUCUUUCUUCUUUCUGGUUGUUGCAACCAGAUGGUGGAGUCCAGGAGCCAGAUGACACCUUUGACGACGACUACUACUACCCCGAGGGUGCCUACUACUACGUGGAGGACGCCGACGACCAGGAGUAGUUAGGAGGCUCCCAGGCAGGAGGCCUUGCCUUUUCGAUCGUAGAUGCUUUUAUGCUAGCCUUCUUAAGGCAAACUUGUCUAACUUAUGUCUGUACUCAGAUAUUGUUGCUUCCGCUGACUCUUGUGUAUUCGAGCUUAUGUAUUCGAGCCCUCGAGGCCCCUGGCUUGUAAUAUAAAGCUUGUAUUAUUUUAAUUUGUGUCUAGAGUUG